rnacentral:ncRNA from 2 species
UCGCGCCCCAGUGGUGAUUUGGCCGGUCUGGUUGCAGCCACUUUAAACAAGUUGCUAAGAGACCGUUUCAACCGGCCG